GUGCCCCAUAAGGUAGUAUUUCCACAUCCAGGUACUUCAUCAGAUCUUCAGCCAUUUGCGAUGGCAAAAGACACUACCUUAGAAAGGCGAAACUAGCCUUUUAUUUAAACUAAAUACUGCACUAAUCAAGAGAGAGAUGCCUCUCACUCUUAGGUUUCUAAUUUAUAAAUAUUUCCAUAUUUGGAAGGUGUUCCAUAGGAGAGAAUAAAGGCUGGACCGUUUAAUGGUAGCAGUGAGAAUGGGGGAGGUGGUUUCAUACCGACCUGCUCCCCCACCCUAUUCUCAUGGCUGCCAUCACACAGGCCACAGGAAAGGAAGACUCAGAGUUUGUUUCCUGACUGGAUGUGGGAACAGAGAAGGAAUCAAGCUCCAUAACUUGAACAACAGAUGUUGCCCUCAUUUAGGGAAAGGAAUGUGCUUACAACGCAGCAGACCCUCAAUGUCGUUGAACGUGUGAAUACUGCUGAAUUUUUCCGACACUGGUAUCUGCCUCUUAGACUUUUCCCUGUAAGCUCGGCUGCCUGAAUGGACCUUUAUCUGCAGGCCACCAACUAGACUUGACGUUCUUCUAGACUUACUUCAUUCCACUUGAAUUUCCACCCCCGUAAUUGGCUUUCCUGGAAGAGCAACUCACUUUUCACUUCUGUACUCUACCUAGAUUAACAUCUAAGGCUUUACCUGGACCAUGACUUAAGGCUGCAUGCACACAGGAAACCAAGAAAAACUGAAGAACUGGAUGGAAAAGACAGAAUCCAUUGAUCAGAGAUAGGGAGAAGUUCGCUGGGUGGAGAAAGAGAAGUGGAAGCAGAUAGGAAGCAAGACAAUGGGAGCAAGCAUAUCAGCCACAAAACACACUGAAAUGAGAGUUAGUUUAUCCAGUUGUGAUUCCACUACGGUCCAUCACUGCCAGGACUCUGAAAUGGGGACUCAUGGAAACAGUACAGAUUGGAUCGAAAGCAGCAAAAAACCUGAUGAUGGUGUUUCAGGCAAGGAAAGUGGAUAAGCAACUGAGGGAAUGUAAAAGUUGCUAAAGGCAGCAUUUUGAGACAAGGGAGAUGCUCACACCUUGGACCUGUGUGUCUAGGUUCAGGGACAGAAGUUUAUCGAAUGUGUCUUUAGCUCAGCAACAUAGAACAAGGGCUGAUUUCUAUCGUUUACCCCUCAAUGGACUUCACCUGAACUUACAGCGCUCCCCAGUGAUGCUACAGAUAUUAAACUGAUGGUUCCUGCUUCC